GUCGGGUAAGUUCCGACCUGCACGAAUGGCGUAACGAUGGCCACACUGUCUCCACCAGAGACUCAGUGAAAUUGAAAUUGCGGUUAAGAUGCCGUAUACCCGCGGCUAGACGGAAAGACCCCGUGAACCUUUACUAUAGCUUCACAGUGAACUUUGAGCAUGUUUGUGUAGGAUAGCUGGGAGGCUUUGAAGUGGGAACGCCAGUUCUCAUGGAGCCAACCUUGAAAUACCAGCCUGACAUGUUUGAGGUUCUAACUUGGUCCCCUUAUCGGGGAUGAGGACACUGUGUGGUGGGUAGUUUGACUGGGGCGGUCUCCUCCCAAAGCGUAACGGAGGAGCACAAAGGUGGGCUAAGCAUGGUCGGACAUCAUGCGGUUAGUGUAAUGGCACAAGCCCGCUUAACUGCGAGACAGACACGUCGAGCAGGUACGAAAGUAGGUCAUAGUGAUCCGGUGGUUCUGUAUGGAAGGGCCAUCGCUCAACGGAUAAAAGGUACUCCGGGG
rnacentral:rRNA from 1 species